rnacentral:lncRNA from 1 species
CUUUCCUUAGCAGUUUUCCAUUAUAUCUCUAAUUUCUGACUUUCUCACUGAGAAUUUCAGUACUCAUGAAUGCUGGGGAUAGAGUUAGAACAUUCAUGAUGGCUAAUUUGCUUUCUUACACAUUCCACACCUAACAUUCCCAGAAUAACAAUAUUAAUACCACCACUAUCACUAAAAGCAGUUAAAUUGGAUAAUAAUGGUACCCACUUCAUAAGAUUUCAUAGAAUUGUUGGGACAUUUUGCAAGGGUUAAAUACCAAAAAAUCCUAAAACAUCUAGAACAAUGCUUGUCAGAGACUAAACACUCAAUAAAUGUUCAUUAAAGUAAAAUAAAACUGUCCUUUUAGUUCAUCUCUGAAUAUUUUUAGAUACUAAAUUUCUGCCUUAGCACAUUUACUACGUAUUAGCACUUAGCUCAGUAGUUUUCACGGUCAUGUAUUAUGCAGAUUACACUUAAAAAAAAAGAAUGUCAUGACAGUUUGUAUUGACAGCCUUUUUCUAGCAAGAAACAUACCGUUAUUUUGAACUUGUGAAUGAUUUAUGAAUUGUGAUUCUGUCUUCAGGAUCCUGUUUUUUUCUGUUUUGUUUUUGUUUUUGUCAUCAAAUUGCCACAGGGGGGAGUAUAAGUUCUUGAAAGCAGCAAGAAAUACAGUUUAAGUAAUUUGGUACCAAUUAUCAUUAUUAUUAGAAACGUCCAUAUCUGAAACAUCUAAACAGAUUAGAUUAAUACCUAUGUGAAAGUAGAAAUAUUUAUAGUAAAAAAUUGGGCACCGUUUAAUAUAGGAUUUAUUAAUUUUGUGAUAGUUGCAAAAGCUGUGUCUGGAAAAUGUCCCCAUGGGUGAAUGUGUGGGCGUGCACAUGCAUGUGGGUAAUAUUAAUGCUGUAGGAGAAGGGAGAAAAUGUAAGUUUCUAGUUUUUGCCAUUAAAGUCAUGACGUGAAAGAGAGAGGGAGAGAGAGAAAGAAAGUGAGAAAGUGCUAGUCUGUGUAAAAUGACCAUGAAAGGGCUUGGAUACAAUGAUGUCAUACAGCCUCACAAUAUGGAUAAUACUGAACCCUUUCUGUACAUAUGGGGGCAUUUAAGCUUAUUAAGUUCAAUAACUAGAGGAGACAAUUCCAAAAUAGAGAGAGCUGUGCAAGUGGAAAAUGAAAUGUCCCUUUGAAUAAUACAAUUGCAUUUAAUAGCUACAAAAGCUGUGACCUAAUAUUAUAACACUGACAGUCAAAAACAUGGUUAUUUUCUCUGCCUCUUUGAAGAAAAAGAAAUACAACAAAAGUUCCUAGAGAAACCAAAUGGACGUUCUUAAAAGUUGGGGGGUUUGAUCAUGGUACCAACCUGAACUUUCCCUUUGGGAGUGGAUCAUCUUUGCAGAUAAUUGGUCAGCUUUCCUAUAAUAUAUACUGUAUAUAUGUAUGUGUGUAUAUAUAAUGUGUGUGUAUAGUAUCUCAUAUAUAUAUAUAUAUAUAUAUUUUUUCGGGUUUUCACGCUCAAAGUCCUGCCACCAUCGUAAGUUACCCCAAUAUCCACCCAAAUCACUAUCCAAACUCACUUCUAAGCUCCUCUUGCCUGUCUCUUCUAAGCUAGUCAGGAUUUGCCAUACACCCUGCCAUUUCAUAGAACUUCUGCAAUCCCCUUGGGUCCUUGAUAUGGUUUGGCUCUGUGUCCCCACCAAAUCUCAUGUAAGAUUGUAAUCCCCAGUGUUGGAGGUGGAGCUGGUGGGAGGUGAUUGGAUCAUAGGGGUGGUUUCUGAAGGUUUAGCACCAUCACCCUGGUGCUGUCUCAUGAGAGAGUUCUCAUGAAAUCUGCUUGUUUAAAAGUGUCCCCCUUUGUUCUUUUCUUCCUGCUCCAGCCAUGUAGGACGUGUCUCUUUCCUCUUUGCUUUCCGCUGUGAUUGCAAGUUUCCCGAGACCUCCCCAGUCAUGCUUCCUUUACGGCCUGCAGAACCAUGAACCAAUUAAACCUCUCUUCUUUAUAGAUUAUCCAGUCUCACGUAGUUCUUUAUAGCAAUGUGAGUACAGACUAAUACAGCCCUACAUUUCUGUCCUCUCCUGCUCUCUCUUGCUCAUUUAUUCUUUUUUUUUUGAGACGGAGUCUCGCUCUGUCGCCCAGGCUGGAGUGCAGUUGGGCGAUCUCGGCUCACUGCAAGCUCCACCUCCUGGGUUCACGCCAUUCUCCUGCCUCAGCCUCCCGAGCAGCUGGGACUACAGGCGCCCGCCACCACGCCUGGCUAAGUUUUUUGUACUUUUAGUAGAGACGGGGUUUCACCGUGUUAGCCAGGAUGGUCUCCAUCUCCUGACCUCAUGAUCU